GCCUUCGUGGUGUAAUGGUCAGCACACUGAGCCGGUAUUUCAGAGGUCCGUGGUUCGAUCCCCGGCGAAUGCA
rfam:Stegodyphus mimosarum contig77264, whole genome shotgun sequence.